rnacentral:lncRNA from 1 species
UUACUUCAAUAAUCUCCACUUGUGGUCCCUGGGACUUCAGCCACCUCCUCCACCAGGGUCUCCUCUAGUACAUCUGCCACCUCCUCCACUUGCCUGGCCUCUGCUAUCUGAACUCCUCCAGGACCUCAACCAGCUCCCCUACCCAUUGUUGCCUGUAGGACCUCGACCACCACCUCCACAUGUACUACUUG